CCCUCCUGCCCCCGCCUGGGACUUAAGCAUAUCAAUAAGCGGGAGGAAAAGAAACCAACAGGGAUUGCCCCUAGUAACGGCGAGUGAAGCGGCAACAGCUCAAAUUUGAAAUCUGGCUUCGGCCCGAGUUGUAAUUUGCAGAGGAUGUUUCUGGCGCGGUGCCUUCCGAGUUCCCCUGGAACGGGACGCCAUAGAGGGUGAGAGCCCCCGUAUGGUUGGAUACCAAGCCUGUGUGAAACUCCUUCGACGAGUCGAGUAGUUUGGGAAUGCUGCUCAAAAUGGGAGGUAAAUCUCUUCUAAAGCUAAAUACCGGCCAGAGACCGAUAGCGCACAAGUAGAGUGAUCGAAAGAUGAAAAGCACCUUGAAAAGGGGGUUAAACAGUACGUGAAAUUGUUGAAAGGGAAGCGCUCAUGACCAGACUUGUGCUGGGCAGCUCAUCCGGGGUUCUCCCCGGUGCACUCUGCCCAGUUCAGGCCAGCAUCGAUUUUUGCUGGGGGAUAAGAACGGUAGGAACGUGGCCCUCCUUCGGGUGGGUGUUAUAGCCUACCGUACGAUACCCUGGCGGAGAUCGAGGUUCGCGCAUCUGCAAGGAUGCUGGCGUAAUGGUCAUCAGCGACCCGUCUUGAAACACGGACCAAGGAGUCGUCCAUUAGAGCGAGCGUUUGGGUGUAAAACCCGCACGCGUAAUGAAAGUGAAAUUAGGUGAGAGCUUCGGCGCAUCAUCGACCGAUCCUGAUGUUCUCGGAUGGAUUUGAGUAAGAGUUUUAACGGACGGACCCGAAAGACAGUGAACUAUGCUUGUAUAGGGUGAAGCCAGAGGAAACUCUGGUGGAGGCUCGCAGCGGUUCUGACGUGCAAAUCGAUCGUCAAAUAUGAGCAUGGGGGGCG
rnacentral:rRNA from 1 species